rnacentral:rRNA from 1 species
AUGGGAAAUACAUUAUAUGGAUACAGCCAAAAAGGAAGAAGAAAUAAUCUCUUCAAUCAGUAUUAUGACACGCUUGCACCCUGCAAUGAUUUGCAGAAAACCAUGCCUGCUGAGGUGCGCAUUGGUUGCUCACCAAGAACUGCUACGCAGUUAUCCGUUGUCUUAAGAUCCAAACCAUACCCUUUCACCGGGAACAGAACCUUCUGGAGGGGCGAGCAACUCAACAUUCUCGUGAGAAGCAUCAGAGGCACACAUAAGCAUGCCAUUAGACUUGAUGCCGCGCAUGUUUCUUGGUUUCAGGUUAGCAAGAACAAUGACAUUGCUGUCCUGCAUAGAUCGCAUGCCAUAGCUGAUGUCAUCAGUAUUCAGUAA